CGGACGGGUGAGUAAUGUCUGGGAAACUGCCUGAUGGAGGGGGAUAACUACUGGAAACGGUAGCUAAUACCGCAUAACGUCGCAAGACCAAAGAGGGGGACCUUCGGGCCUCUUGCCAUCGGAUGUGCCCAGAUGGGAUUAGCUAGUAGGUGGGGUAACGGCUCACCUAGGCGACGAUCCCUAGCUGGUCUGAGAGGAUGCCAGCCACACUGGAACUGAGCACGGUCCAG
rnacentral:rRNA from 1 species